UCUCUGAUGGGAAGUGACGAUGUAAUCGAAGAUGAAAAUCGCGAUGCUGUGCAUACCUCAUUUACAUUUGUCUUAAAUAGGUCUAAAUUGUAUGUACUCGUACUUGGAAAAAUAUACGCAGGGAGAGUUUUACUUCUUAAUAGUACUGUUUUCAUUAUGCCCACGCAAUAUGAUCUACGGUACAGUCAAUUAUGAAUGGUAAUUGGGGGUGGAGGCUAGAGCGUCUCUUUACUGUAAUCUGAGCUCGGGAUGUCAUGGUAACGCUACAGAGGUGCGGGAAUGGGAGCGGAAGCGGGUUGCAGGAGCGAGAGUAGGAGCGGGAGCUAGAGCAGACGCGGGUGACGGGCGCGCGGGUGACGGGCGCGACCCUGACUCUUGAAAUAGUCUUCCGCGUUAAUGCUGUGAGCGAAAAUAUCGCAUGAUGCUGCUGCAAGGUCACCUGAACACCACCCCCGUCCCAGACAACCGCGCCAUAUAAGGACUAAAACUGCGGAACUUAAAAGUACUUCAGGGUGGAUGGCGCAGGCGUACAUUCGAUCACGUUACGAUUCCGUGGAGUACGCACGCACUACGCCACGUGUCGAGAUAAUCGUGCGCUUUUGCGUCGCAACCAACACACUGCAUUCAAACAUGCGAUGUCUUUGCACUGUACUAAGAGACAUAGGUGGCUGGUGGUGUGACCCUAGCGACCUUGUGGCGACCUUAGCCGCCCACCCGCAUCCGCUCCCUCCGACACGCGGCCCUCCCAGGACACUGAGUACGUUUCGCAACCUUGGAACAAUCAGGGAAGCCUCCUUUUCAGAUUUAAUUUCAAACUCAUCGUUGCUAAUCAACGUUUCAUUAUUACUUAAAAGUCUUCAGAAAGAAUCGGCAGAAUUAAUUCAAUAUAGACCUUAUUAAUAACAAUACAAUAUAAUUUAAUCAAAGUCUGCCUACGAAAUUUAAUUAAGGUUUAUUCAGAUGAACUUCCUUACGAGUUAUUACUGCGUAGACGCGUUUCGAUUGUAUCGAAUUUUACUAUUAAUUAAACGAAUUAAAUAUAGUCUA